CCUACGGGAGGCAGCAGUGGGGAAUAUUGGGCAAUGGGCGCAAGUCUGACCCAGCAAUGCCGCGUGAAGGAAGAAGGCUUUCGGGUUGUAAACUUCUUUUCUCAGGGACGAAGCAAGUGACGGUACCUGAGGAAUAAGCCACGGCUAACUACGUGCCAGCAGCCGCGGUAAUACGUAGGUGGCAAGCGUUAUCCGGAUUUACUGGGUGUAAAGGGCGUGUAGGCGGGACUGCAAGUCAGAUGUGAAAACCUCGAGCUCAACCUGUGACCUGCUUUUGAAACUGUAGUUCUUGAGUGCUGGUGAGGCAGGCGGAAUUCCUAGUGUAGCGGUGAAAUGCGUAGAGAUUAGGAGGAACACCAGUGGCGAAGGCGGUCUGCUGGACAGCAACUGACGCUGAGGCGCGAAAGCGUGGGGAGCAAACAGGAUUAGAUACCCUAGUAGUC
rnacentral:rRNA from 1 species